AGAGUUCGAUUAUGGCUCAGGACGAACGCUGGCGGCGUGCCUAACACAUGCAAGUCGAACGGACUGAUCUUGGUGCUUGCACCGGGAGAAAGUUAGUGGCGGACGGGUGAGUAACGCGUGAGUAACCUGCCUUUCAGAGGGGGAUAACGUUUUGAAAAGAACGCUAAUACCGCAUGAAAUCAAGGAACUGCAUGGUUUUUUGAUCAAAGGAGCAAUCCGCUGAGAGAUGGACUCGCGUCCGAUUAGCCAGUUGGCGGGGUAACGGCCCACCAAAGCGACGAUCGGUAGCCGGACUGAGAGGUUGAACGGCCACAUUGGGACUGAGACACGGCCCAG
rnacentral:rRNA from 1 species